AAAUUUUACAGUAUAUUUUGGUCUUGAUGUAACCUUGCUGUAGCCAUUGCUGUAAUGUGCCAGGUGUACUUGCAAUAAUCAGAGAAAGUGCGCACGAGUCAAAUCACACAGAGGGAGAGAGAGCACAACUCCUGGCUGCAGCUGAAGAAGGAGGACGAUUGAUUUCUGUCAGUUCGCUCUAACGUUACAGUUUGCUCCACUUUGCUCUGUGGUUUAUAUGUUUUCUUCUUACCAUUGCUUGUAAGCUGGAUUGAGUAAGAUGGAUCAUCUUUAAAGGAACCAGGAGUUAAGGCAGAUGUGGAGGCACACGGGUGACACCAGACACACACCAAGCACAUUGUUCGG